rnacentral:lncRNA from 1 species
UAGCAAAGUGAGGGGGAGAGGAAUGUGUGGUGUUUAUUUAAUUGACAGCAAGCCACAAAGGAAACUUGCUGUAUUUAUGGGCAGUCGUUCCAAAAUGGAAUGUGGGAUCAGACAUUUGUGCACAGCUGGGGAUUUGCCAUCUUGUUUAAGUUUACUUAAAACAGUUGCUUUAGCCCCAUUGUGCUCCUAGGUUUGCUAUAUGAUGUUUAUAUGCUGCGUAUGAGUUAGAAACACACACCAUAGAUUUAGGAGCCCGCAUCUCUGUCUGGGAAUAUCUCCACACAGCCGCUCACCAUUGCUGUGCUGACAGUACAAGUACCCACACCAAGCCCAGGGAAAAUGUAGGUUUAGUGGGGGAGAAUUCUGUAGUUAGAGUGACUAAGGACCCAUCGGUGCUCUAUAUUUAAAGUAGUAUCACUUUAAAAAUGAAGGCUUCCCUCAAAGAAUCCUGGGAAGUGUAGUUUGUUCAGGGUGCUGAGACUUGUUAAGAGACCCCUAUUCCCCAUAUAGAGCUACAAUUCUUAGAGUUGCUUGGGGAGAGGGGUGGCUGUUAAACCACUCUGGGAACUGCAGCCCAGGGAUAGGGGUCUUAACAGCACUCAGCAACGCACCCUUAACAAACCACAGGUGUCAGGCUUCUUUGGGGGAAGUUUUAGCUGUAUGAAGUGUUAUGAUAUUGCUUUAAAUGUAGUGCAGAAGUGGCGUCAUUGCUACAAGAGUGCAGAUGAUGGUCUGAGGGCGACUUGCCUAUCCACCACCAUUAAUAAGCACACAUUUCAACUGCUAGUUGUGAGCCAGUGUGGUGUAGCGGUUCAAAGUGGUGGACUCGUAAUCUGGUGAACUGGGUUCGAUUCCCCACUUCUCCACAUGCAGCUGCUGGGUGACCUUGGGCUAGUCACACUUCUCUGAAGUCUCUCAGCCUCACUCACCUCACAGAGUGUUUGUUGUGGGGGAGGAAGGGAAAGGAGAAUGUUAGCCACUUUGAGACUCCUUAGGGUAGUGAUAAAGCGGGAUAUCAAAUCCAAACUCCUCCUCCUUCUCCUCCUCCUCCUCCUCCUCCUCCUCCUCCUCUUCUUCUUCUUCUUCUUCUUCUUCUUCUUCUUCUUCGACAACGGACAUCCGCAUCAGCCUGUGCUCUCUUUUGUUAGAGUCUUUUAAGCAGAAGCCACCUCUGAGGGUUGCUGUAGCAAUGAAUUUCCAGCAUUGGCAAAAGAUAGCACUAGAAGACCUUUGCAAUCCCUUCCAUGGAGCACAAUACGCUGCUGUAAGUUUUGACAAUCUGUUUGCCAUGACAGUUACACGUAGCAUUUUCUACAAGAAAGUUUAGGUAUCCAAAAUUUUCUUUGCAUUGCAAAAAAUAUCACCAUCGUUGUCAUCAUCUAUACCUUCCUAUCACAAAUGAAAAUUUUAAUGGUCAUUUGGCAUGGAAUCUACCCACUGUCCGAGAAUUCAUUCUGCAUCAUCAUCCAAUUUAAAGUGGGAUCAUGUUCAAAAUCAUGCUUCAGAGAGGGAAGACAGGGCACAGACACUUAGUAGACCAUCAGUUGGUCCCAGUAGGGACAAUUCCUUGCUUUCUCUACCCCACCUGCUGGCUUCAUUCUUCCUUAGCAACUCUGAUGUUUACUAACUUGCAAUUGUAGGACUGCCUUGCUUGGCUGGUGAGCUUCAAUAAAGGCUGCUGCAAAUCUCAAGGCACUAACAUAGACAACUUUAAGGAAUAGUUAAUUUGGGUGGUACUUAUUCAAACAGAAUGAAAAUGCAGUGAUCCAUUACAUGAUUUCAGGGAGAGAA